CGACAACUUGAAGCAGGCCAAGAAGUUGAUGUUUCAAGCAAGAAGAACAAAAGUGGUAGGAAGAGAAAAGAACUAGAUCUGUCGAGAACAGCAACAAUCCCUUUGAACAAAAGAAGAACAAUCCGUUCUCUAGCAAGGUGUUUAGGUGUGCCCCGAUCAACCCUACACGACAGAUUUCAAUUG
rnacentral:rRNA from 1 species